rnacentral:rRNA from 1 species
GACGAACGCUGGCGGCGUGCUUAACACAUGCAAGUCGAACGGUGAAGCGCCUUCCUUUUUGGUGGGUGUGGAUGAGUGGCGAACGGGUGAGUAACACGUGAGUAACCUGCCCCCUUCUUCUGGAUAACCGCAUGAAAGUGUGGCUAAUACGGGAUAUUCUGGGUCUGUCGCAUGAUGGGUCUGGGAAAGAUAUUGUUUCGGUGGGGGAUGGGCUCGCGGCCUAUCAGCUUGUUGGUGGGGUGAUGGCCUACCAAGGCGGUGACGGGUAGCCGGCCUGAGAGGGUGGACGGUCACACUGGGACUGAGACACGGCCCAGACUCCUACGGGAGGCAGCAGUGGGGAAUAUUGCACAAUGGGCGCAAGCCUGAUGCAGCGACCCCGCGUGAGGGAUGGAGGCCUUCGGGUUGUGAACCUCUUUCGCCAGUGAAGCAGGCCUGCCUCGUUUGUGGGUGGGUUGACGGUAGCUGGAUAAGAAGCGCCGGCUAACUACGUG